AUAGCGUAUAUUUAAGUUGUUGCAGUUAAAAAGCUCGUAGUUGGAUUUCGGAUGGGUUGCUGCGGUCCGCCUCUGGUGAGUACUGCUGUGGCCUAUCUUUCUGCCGGGGACGGGCUCCUGGGCUUCACUGUCCGGGACUCGGAGUCGGCGAUGUUACUUUGAGUAAAUUAGAGUGUUCAAAGCAGGCCUACGCUCUGAAUACUUUAGCAUGGAAUAACACGAUAGGACUCUGGCCUAUCUUGUUGGUCUGUAGGACCGGAGUAAUGAUUAAGAGGGACAGUCGGGGGCAUUCGUAUUUCAUUGUCAGAGGUGAAAUUCUUGGAUUUAUGAAAGACGAACUACUG
rnacentral:rRNA from 1 species